UACAGAGGUCCCAAGCGUUGUUCGGAUUUACUGGGCGUAAAGGGUGCGUAGGUGGUCGGGUAAGUCUCAUGUGAAAUCUCCAAGCUUAACUUGGAAAUGGCAUGGGAUACUAUUCGGCUAGAGGAUUGGAGGGGGGACUGGAAUUCCCGGUGUAGCGGUGAAAUGCGCAGAUAUCGGGAGGAACACCUAUGGCGAAGGCAGCUCGCUGGGACGUUACUGACGCUGAGACGCGAAAGCGUGGGGAGCAAACAGG
rnacentral:rRNA from 1 species